rnacentral:rRNA from 1 species
CAGUCGCCGCGGGAACACCGAGGGUGCAAGCGUUAAUCGGAAUUACUGGGCGUAAAGCGCGCGUAGGUGGUUCGCCAAGUUGGAUGUGAAAUCCCCGGGCUCAACCUGGGAACUGCAUCCAAAACUGGCGAGCUAGAGUAUGGUAGAGGGUGGUGGAAUUUCCUGUGUAGCGGUGAAAUGCGUAGAUAUAGGAAGGAACAUCAGUGGCGAAGGCGACCACCUGGACUGAUACUGACACUGAGGUGCGAAAGCGUGGGGAGCAAACAGGAUUAGAUACCCGGGUAGUCCCUGUCUCUUAUAA